GUAGUGUAUGCUUUUCCGAAAGAUUAAGCCAUGCAUGCCCUGACUAAGAGUAGCUAUCUCUGAAUCUGCGAACGGCUCCGCACAACGAGAGUAACCUGCCGCUUGAUGCAUCAUCACCCGCGAGGGUGGUGGGGGCAACACGGAUACCCCCGGAAAAGCUGGGGCUAAUACGCGUUCAAUCUUGGCCCCAUGUCGGCUUCCUUCAUUCGUGUUGGAACUUUGGGGCUGGGAAGCGUGCGAGCACAUUUUGCUUCGUUUAUAAGGAAUCAGCGCACGUCGGUACACGGUCAUUCAGAGAUUCAUCACCCUAGUUGAUUCUCGACCUGUGCUCGCGCUGGGCUCUUGUUCCUAUCAUACUCGCCUGCAGCGUAACGGACAUGCAGGGGUGAUGACGGGUACAGAGGAUUAGAGUUCGAUCCUGGAGAGUGGGCCUGAGAGAUUGCUCAUACUUCUAAGGAAGGCAGCAGGCGCGCAACGUUCCCACUGGGCACUGUCCCGAGGGCGUUAUUGGAAGUAUGAAUGGCUGCUUCUAAAAAGUAGCCAAUACAAAUGGGUUGGUUUUAAAUCACCCUUCGAGUAACA
rnacentral:rRNA from 1 species